rnacentral:snoRNA from 11 species
CCGCACUGCCAAGUGACUGGACGUCCUCCUCCGUGGUCGUCCGAUCUCAUUUCAGUGCCAGAAAGACCUCAGUUUGCAGAAGGGUUGAGCUAAACCAGUGGGUCCCCCCUUUCGAAGACUGAGAACAAAU